UACCGAGGUCCCGAGCGUUGUUCGGAUUCAUUGGGCGUAAAGGGUGCGUAGGUGGCGCCGUAAGUGGGGUGUGAAAUCCCGGGGCUUAACCCCGGGACUGCAUUCCAUACUGCGGUGCUUGAGGACUGGAGAGGAGACUGGAAUUUACGGUGUAGCAGUGAAAUGCGUAGAGAUCGUAAGGAAGACCAGUGGCGAAGGCGGGUCUCUGGACAGUUCCUGACACUGAGGCACGAAGGCCAGGGGAGCAAACGGG
rnacentral:rRNA from 1 species